ACAGAUGUUUUCCCACCUGAGUGCGUCGUUUCUAAUGUGGAUAAUGGCUUCAAGAAGAAGUGGAGAGGUGACUAUCAACUAUCAUCCACAUUUGCAACAAAACUCAAUGUCAAUCUUGACAUUCCAGAAAUCACAGAAAUUAAAAACAACAAUGGAUGGCAGUCAGACUUUGUGUGUUAAAAUCCACUCAAGCUAUCUUCGAACUUCUGGAUAUUUGUAAGAGACAUUGGAGUCAUGCUGAGUUUGUGAAUUAGUUUGUAUAUGCUCUUGAUGAGAAGUCCUGCAAAAUUUGUACUGCAAAUUGUACUUUGGCAUUAAAUUUCUUAGAAAGAUUUAAUGGGUUCAACGAAAUACUUGA